rnacentral:misc_RNA from 1 species
UCCGAGUUGACCCCGGCAGUCUCCUAUGAGUCCCCACCAUGACGUGCUGGCAACAUCGGACAGGGGUUGCGCUCGUUGCGCCACUUAAGGCAACACCUCACGGCACGAGCUGACGACAGCCAUGCAGCACCUGUGCAGGCUCCCGAAGGAGCACCGUGUUUCCACGGUUUCACCCUGCAUGUCAAGCCCUGGUAAGGUUCUUCGCGUUGCGUCGAAUUAAGCCACAUGCUCCGCCGCUUGUGCGGGUCCCCGUCAAUUCCUUUGAGUUUUAGCCUUGCGGCCGUACUCCCCAGGCGGGGUGCUUAAUGCGUUUGCGACGGCACGGAAGGGGUUGACGUGGAACGGUUGG